rnacentral:pre_miRNA from 1 species
UCUCAUGCUGUGACCCUCUAAAGCCAGGUGCUUUCUGUUGUCUGAAAGCAAACAAAGGCCUUCCCUUUAGACCAUUACCGUUUGAGA